rnacentral:rRNA from 1 species
AUGGUGUUGCUUGACAGUAGGGGUAUGUUGCAGUCCAUGGGUAAAGACAUUGUUGAUUUCGCCCUUCCAAGUAUCGAUGAUGCAUUUGACCCAACCGAGGGCGAGGCCAGAGAGGUCAUCGAGGAAUCAACCAUUGAGUUUGACGUAGAUGACACUAAAUUGGCAUCUUCCCUGAACUUGGAGCAGACAGCCGCAUACGACGAGAUACUAGCGGCUGAUGAACGCGGUGAUGGGGGUGUAUUCUUUGUUGAUGGCCCUGGAGGUACAGGGAAGACCUUCCUCUACAGGGUGAUGCUCGCCAAGGUGAGGAGCGAGGGCAAGAUUGAUAUCGCUACCGCUACGUCGGGCGUUGCCGCUUCUAUCAUGCCUGGCGGCAGGACUGCCCACUCGAGAUUCAAGAUCCCAUUG